AGACCAUGAUGAGGGCAACACCUAAGUAAAUCUUUGUAUCUUUCCCAAGUCUCGUACAAUGAUUCAGUAUCUAGCUACAUGAAUGAUGUGAUUUCAUUGCUCAUUUU
rnacentral:snoRNA from 1 species